rnacentral:lncRNA from 1 species
UCAUAGGGAAGACGACAAUUCCAUCAUAUUCCGCUUGCCCCAACUUUCCAAUUAUUCAUAGGCCCGUGGGGACUCCAUCAAAUAUUUCAACAGUCUGAAAAUUCAAAGGUUGAUCAGAUAUCGCAUGAUUGCAACAAAAAGCACACAACAUUUAACUUACCAAGAAUAACUCCUCUUCUCUCAUUCAAUAUUUUCCACCUUUCAGCAUGGUUGAUGCAAUUGUUUCCCCUCUCCUGGAGCAGCUGAUUUCGAUCUCUCUUGAAGAGGCAAGAGAACAAAUGAAGUUAGUUGUGGGUAUCGACAAUGAAGUGGCAAAGCUCAAGCAUAAUUUUCUAGCCAUUCAGGCUGUGCUCGUUGAUGCAGAGCAAAGGCAAUUUAAGGAGGAAACUGUUAGACUUUGGCUUGAUCAGCUCAAAGACGUAUCUUACUACAUGGGAGAUGUGCUGGAUGAGUGGAACACUGCUAGGCUCAAAUUGCGAAUCGAGGGCGUUGAUGCUCUUGUUCCUCAGAGGAAGGUAUGUUCCUUCUUACCUGCUGCCUCUUGCUUUGGCUUCAGUCAAACUUUUCAACGCCGUGAUAUUGCUGUAAAGAUAAAAGCAAUCAACGGAAAACUAGACGAUAUUGCCAAACAGAAAGAUAUGUAUAAUUUUAACGUCAUUAGAAGUACUGAGAACUCUGAGAGGAUUCAAAGUACUUCCUUAAUUGAUGUGUCUGAGAUACGUGGUCGUGAUGAGGAAAAGAGUAGUCUUAAGAGCAAAUUGUUAUGUGAGAGUAGUGAAGAAAUAAUAAAUGAUAUCCAGAUCAUCACCAUAGUAGGGAUGGGUGGUAUUGGCAAGACCACUCUUGCUCAAUUUGCCUACAAUGAUAGUGAUGUGUUCGAGUAUUUUGAUAAAAGGAUGUGGGUGUGUGUAUCGGACCCUUUUGAUGAGUUAAGGAUUGCAAAAGCAAUUAUUGAAGCCUUAGAAGGUUUUGUCCCUACUUUUGGUGAAUUGAAUUCUCUUUUGGAGUCGAUACGGGCAUCUCUGGUAGGAAAAAAAUUUCUUCUCAUCUUGGAUGAUAUGUGGACUGAUGAUUAUAGUAAAUGGGAACCAUUCCACUAUUGUCUAAAGAAUGGGGUUCGUGGAAGUAAGAUUUUGGUUACCACUCGUAAGGAACAGUUGCUCGAAUGAUGGAGUCAAUUCAUGUUAUCUCUAUUAAGGAAUUGUCUGAACAAGAAUGUUGGUCAUUAUUUAAACGAUUUGCCUUUUUUGGAAGACCUCAUUCUGAUUGUGAACAAUUAGAAGAAAUUGGUAAAAAAAUUACUGGCAGGUGUAAGGGUUUGCCACUUGCAGCCAAAACUAUAGGGAGUCUCUUGCGCUUUAAAAGAACUAGAGAAGAAUGGGAAAGUAUUUUAGAUAGCGAGUUGUGGCAGUUAGAAGAGUUUGAAAAAGGUCUCUUAGCUCCUCUACUAUUAAGUUACAAUGAUUUGCCCCCCAUGAUAAAACGGUGUUUUCAAUACUGUUCUGUCUAUCCAAAAGACUCAUAUUUAGAGAGAGAUGAAUUAAUUAAGUUAUGGAUGGCUCAAGAUUAUAUUAUGCCAGAAGGAAAUAAAGAGUUGGAGAUAAUUGGUGAGGAGUAUUUUGAUUACUUGGCUAUGAGAUCUUUCUUCCAAGAGUUUUUCAAAGAUAAUGAAGGCGUUGUUGUAAGAUGUAAAAUGCAUGACAUAGUGCAUGAUUUCGCACAGUUUCUUACUAAAAAUGAAUGUAUUGCAAUAGAAGUUGAUGAUGAUGAAGAACCAUUAUCCUUGAUAAAUACUUAUCAAGAGAAACUUCGUCAUUCGAUGUUGGUGCUUGGCUACGAGGCUUCAUUUCCUAUUUCCAUAUUUAAAGCCAAAAAUUUACGAAGUCUUUUUAUUAAUAAUACCCUAAUUCAAGUGUCUUUAACACAUGUCUUGCAAAGCUUAUUUGAUCAGUUGAAAUGUUUAAGGGCAUUAAGAAUAGCCACAUUAAUGAAUACUUGGGAUGUCAAUUCAACCAAUAAAAUUUUGAAGGGGAUAGAAAAAUUGAUUCAUUUAAGAUACCUUCGAUUAGUUGGGUUGGGGACAGAAGAAUUGCCUGAGACAUGUUGUGAGUUACUUAAUUUGCAAGUCUUAGAGAUCGAGCAAUGUAGUAGUUUGAAAAGAUUGCCUCUAGGAAUAGGGAAGUUAGUCAAUCUAAGGCAUUUAACAUAUGAUGAUAGUUGUUUAGAAUUCAUUCCAAAAGGAAUACAGAGAUUAACUAAUCUUAGGACAUUGAGUGAGUUUGUUGUUGUGAGAGGUGGUAGCAAAUAUGGUGGCAAAGCAUGUAACCUUGAAGGUUUGAGAUACUUGAACCACCUUCGAGGAUCUUUUAAAAUCCGAGGGUUGGGGAAUGUGAGAAAUUUUGAUGAACCUAAAAUUGCAAAUCUUGAGAAAAAGAAGAAACUCGUUCGUUUGGAAUUUGAUAUGGAAGGAGGGAGGGAGGAGAUAAACGAGGAAAACGAAGCAAACCAUCUAGCAAUUUGCGAAGCCUUAAGACCACCUACAAAUCUACAAGAAUUAGAAAUGCGUCACUAUAAAGGCAAGACUGCAUUUCCCAGUUGGUUAAUUUCAUUAAACAAGCUGAAGAAGUUAAUUCUCUCAUUCUGCACUGAGUGUGAGAUUUUGCCUCCUUUAGGAAAAUUGCCAUUCCUUGAAAUACUCAAAAUAUUAGGAAUGUUUAGAUUGAAAAGAGUGGGUAAUGAAUUUUUGGGGAUAGAAAUCAGUGAUCAUAUUCACGCAACAUCUUCAUCCUCAACUUCAUCAGUUAUUGCCUUUCCUAAAUUGAAAAAUCUCUCACUCAUGGGUUUGAAUGAAUGGGAAGAGUGGGAAUUUGCAAACCAAGGUGUUACAAUCAUGCCUCAACUCAAUUACUUGCAUAUUAGCAAUUGUAGCAAAUUGAAGAUGCUGCCAAACCAACUUCUGUGGAGCAAAACACUUGUGGAAUUGAAGAUUGAUGAUUGUCCUCUUUUACAAGAGCGUUUCAUCAAAAUUGAUGAACAAUAUGUACAAGGAGGUCCCCGUUGAAUACAAUAAUAGCAGCAACACUAUUGAUUCACUGCAAGCCACUG